rnacentral:rRNA from 1 species
CGACGUCAAAGCGUAUACAAAGUCGAGUCGGUUUAAGGAUACGUUCGUUGGGUAGGGGAGCGUUCUGUAAGCCUGUGAAGGUGGCCUGUGAGGGUUGCUGGAGGUAUCAGAAGUGCGAAUGCUGACAUAAGUAACGAUAAAGCGGGUGAAAAGCCCGCUCGCCGGAAGACCAAGGGUUCCUGUCCAACGUUAAUCGGGGCAGGGUGAGUCGACCCCUAAGGCGAGGCCGAAAGGCGUAGUCGAUGGGAAACGGGUUAAUAUUCCCGUACUUGGUGUUACUGCGAAGGGGGGACGGAGAAGGCUAUGUUGGCCGGGCGACGGUUGUCCCGGUUUAAGCGUGUAGGUGUGUGUUCCAGGUAAAUCCGGUUCACUUUAACACUGAGGCGUGAUGACGAGGCACUACGGUGCUGAAGCAACAAAUGCCCUGCUUCCAGGAAAAGCCUCUAAGCAUCAGGUAACAUCAAAUCGUACCCCAAACCGACACAGGUGGUCAGGUAGAGAAUACCAAGGCGCUUGAGAGAACUCGGGUGAAGGAACUAGGCAAAAUGGUGCCGUAACUUCGGGAGAAGGCACGCUGACACGUAGGUGAAGUGAUUUACUCACGGAGCUGAAGUCAGUCGAAGAUACCAGCUGGCUGCAACUGUUUAUUAAAAACACAGCACUGUGCAAACACGAAAGUGGACGUAUACGGUGUGACGCCUGCCCGGUGCCGGAAGGUUAAUUGAUGGGGUCAGCGCAAGCGAAGCUCCUGAUCGAAGCCCCGGUAAACGGCGGCCGUAACUAUAACGGUCCUAAGGUAGCGAAAUUCCUUGUCGGGUAAGUUCCGACCUGCACGAAUGGCGUAAUGAUGGCCAGGCUGUCUCCACCCGAGACUCAGUGAAAUUGAACUCGCUGUGAAGAUGCAGUGUACCCGCGGCAAGACGGAAAGACCCCGUGAACCUUUACUAUAGCUUGACACUGAACAUUGAGCCUUGAUGUGUAGGAUAGGUGGGAGGCUUUGAAGCGUGGACGCCAGUCUGCGUGGAGCCGACCUUGAAAUACCACCCUUUAAUGUUUGAUGUUCUAACGUGGACCCGUUACCCGGGUUGCGGACAGUGUCUGGUGGGUAGUUUGACUGGGGCGGUCUCCUCCUAAAGAGUAACGGAGGAGCACGAAGGUUGGCUAAUCCUGGUCGGACAUCAGGAGGUUAGUGCAAUGGCAUAAGCCAGCUUGACUGCGAGCGUGACGGCGCGAGCAGGUGCGAAAGCAGGUCAUAGUGAUCCGGUGGUUCUGAAUGGAAGGGCCAUCGCUCAACGGAUAAAAGGUACUCCGGGGAUAACAGGCUGAUACCGCCCAAGAGUUCAUAUCGACGGCGGUGUUUGGCACCUCGAUGUCGGCUCAUCACAUCCUGGGGCUGAAGUAGGUCCCAAGGGUAUGGCUGUUCGCCAUUUAAAGUGGUACGCGAGCUGGGUUUAGAACGUCGUGAGACAGUUCGGUCCCUAUCUGCCGUGGGCGCUGGAGAACUGAGGGGGGCUGCUCCUAGUACGAGAGGACCGGAGUGGACGCAUCACUGGUGUUCGGGUUGUCAUGCCAAUGGCACUGCCCGGUAGCUAAAUGCGGAAGAGAUAAGUGCUGAAAGCAUCUAAGCACGAAACUUGCCCCGA